rnacentral:rRNA from 1 species
UUCCGGUUGAUCCCGCCAGACCUGACUGCUAUCGGAUUGAUACUAAGCCAUGCGAGUCUUUGUAGUAAUACAAGGCAGACGGCUCAGUAACACGUAGUCAACCUACCCUAUGGACGAGAAUAAUCUCGGGAAACUGAGCAUAAUUCUUGAUAGAUCAUAAUGCCUGGAAUGGUUUAUGGUUAAAAUGAUUCGUCGCCAUAGGAUGGGACUGCGGCCUAUCAGCUUGUUGGUGAGGUAAUGGCCCACCAAGGCGAUUACAGGUACGGGCUCUGAGAGGAGAAGCCCGGAGAUGGGUACUGAGACACGGACCCAGGCCCUAUGGGGCGCAGCAGGCGAGAAAACUUUGCAAUGUGCGAAAGCACGACAAGGUUAAUCCGAGUGAUUUCUGCUAAAGGAAUCUUUUGCCAGUCGUAAAACCGCUGGUGAAUAAGGGGUGGGCAAGUUCUGGUGCCAGCAGCCGCGGU